rnacentral:lncRNA from 1 species
CAGCAGCAGGAAGAAACCCCAGGAGGAAGAAACCUCAGACAGAUCGCCGGCGAGGCAGCGCGGGAUCCCAGCCUCUGGCGUGCGCGGACGGUGUGCGGGUACGGCUUGAAGGAAACUUCUGGAGGGUGGGGUGGUGUUGAAGAGAAGGCACAAUUGUCACCAUUUUGUUCAACAUGGGCGUUUUCUUUGUGCAUUGAUUUGCAUUUUUAAAGGAACUCCUCCUCAAAACAGAAGAAGCCUAUAGGAUUUUAACCUGGAAACUACUCAGGGAAUCUGGAAUAUUCCUUCCAGGGAUAUCUGCAGCUGAAACCUGGCAGUAAUUUAAACAAAACCAGACAACUCUUGGGGUAUGGUUGGAGCCUGAGGUCUACAGAUGGGUCAUUUUAUAUGCUGAGGUCUGAACAAGAUGAUUUUAACCCCUUAAAAUGAUGGAAACAAAAUAAAACAGAAUAAAUUAGAAGACAACACAGGUGAGUAGUUUAAAG